rnacentral:rRNA from 1 species
UCAUUACUUGCUCAACAAAUUAGCACUACUCAGGAAGAAUUUGUUCCUCCAUGUCUGAAGUGCAUUGAGCGUGAAUCUGCUAAUUCUUUACCUGAAUGUUCAAAUGCUUCAAAUGUUACAAAUUCUUCACCUGUCUCUGCUAUCACUAAUUCCUCAUCUGAGGACAUUGCUAGUACCACUGAUGAUGCAGGGCUGAAGGAAUUGUACACGACAGGCAUGUACAAAAGCCUCAAAGGGCAUCAGAUUCUUUGUGAUGUGCUUAAAAAGAAGAUCCCCAAUAGGAACCCUAGGAAAGAGGGUAUUGCCUUUGAGAGGAAACUCAAUGCUGAUGGAACAUAUUGGAAGCCUGAGCAGUACCCCAAAACCUCAUGGGUUGCUCCA